rnacentral:rRNA from 1 species
GAUGAACGCUGGCGGCGUGCCUAAUACAUGCAAGUCGAGCGAACAGACGAGGAGCUUGCUCCUCUGACGUUAGCGGCGGACGGGUGAGUAACACGUGGAUAACCUACCCAUAAGACUGGGAUAACUUCGGGAAACCGGAGCUAAUACCGGAUAAUAUAUUGAACCGCAUGGUUCAAUAGUGAAAGACGGUUUUGCUGUCACUUAUAGAUGGAUCCGCGCCGCAUUAGCUAGUUGGUAAGGUAACGGCUUACCAAGGCAACGAUGCGUAGCCGACCUGAGAGGGUGAUCGGCCACACUGGAACGGAGACACGGUCCAGACGCCUACGGGAGGCAGCAGUAGGGAAUCUUCCGCAAUGGGCGAAAGCCUGACGGAGCAACGCCGCGUGAGUGAUGAAGGUCUUCGGAUCGUAAAACUCUGUUAUUAGGGAAGAACAAAUGUGUAAGUAACUAUGCACGUCUUGACGGUACCUAAUCAGAAAGCCACGGCUAACUACGUG